rnacentral:rRNA from 1 species
GACGAACGCUGGCGGCGUGCUUAACACAUGCAAGUCGAACGGAAAGCCCCUUUCGGGGGGACUCGAGUGGCGAACGGGUGAGUAACACGUGGGUGAUCUGCCCUGCACUUUGGGAUAAGCCUGGGAAACUGGGUCUAAUACCGAAUACACCUUGCUGGUCGCAUGGCCUGGUGAGGGAAAGCUUUUGCGGUGUGGGAUGGGCCCGCGGCCUAUCAGCUUGUUGGUGGGGUGAUGGCCUACCAAGGCGACGACGGGUAGCCGGCCUGAGAGGGUGUCCGGCCACACUGGGACUGAGAUACGGCCCAGACUCCUACGGGAGGCAGCAGUGGGGAAUAUUGCACAAUGGGCGCAAGCCUGAUGCAGCGACGCCGCGUGAGGGAUGACGGCCUUCGGGUUGUAAACCUCUUUCAGCAUCGACGAAGCGCAAAUGACGG